AUUUUGCAAAAAGCUCGGCCCGACUGCAGCUGGUUCUUCCUGGUUUCCCUGGCCUCUAUUGUGGUUGGAGCAUCCCUGCCUGUGUUUGCAGUAUUCUACAGCGAAAUAUUCAAUACAUUCACCCUGGUUGGGCAAGAUAUGCAAGACACUGCUUUCUUCUGGUCCAUGAUGUUCCUGGUCCUGGCAGCUGCUCGUGGUCUGGGGCACUUCUUCAGAACGCUGGGUGUAGGCAUUGCUGGUGAAAACCUGACAUUCCGCCUGCGGGUGCUGUGUUGGCCAACAUACUGCGGCAACACAUGGGCUGGUUUGAUGAAGACUCCCAUUCCUCUGCCAAACUGGCCUCUCGGCUAGCGAGUGACAUUCCUGUUAAAACUGUGAGCGGAACGGAAUGUCUUGCUUAUUAUGAAAAGGAA